UACAGAGGGUGCGAGCGUUAAUCGGAUUUACUGGGCGUAAAGGGCGCGUAGGCGGUUGAAUGAGUGUGAUGUGAAAGCCCCGGGCUUAACCUGGGAAGUGCAUCGCAAACGAUUCGACUGGAGUAGAUGAGAGGGUGGUGGAAUUUCCGGUGUAGCGGUGAAAUGCGUAGAGAUCGGAAGGAACGUCAAUGGCGAAGGCGGCCGGCUGGGGUGUGGCUGACGCUGAGGCGCGACAGCGUGGGGAGCAAACAGG
rnacentral:rRNA from 1 species